ensembl:lncRNA
CAGAGAAAACGCCAAGCGGAUGUCUGCGCACUCGCCGCUUCUCUGUGACAAAAGGCCCGAAGAAUACCAAUUUUCUCUUCUGGAAAUGGACGCCUUCGUGCAAGCGUGCGCCGUAAUUGACGGACAGGAUGGUGCUACAUUCUCUGUGUGAUAUGAAUAAUGAAUCGGUGGUCUAAUUUGCCGUGUGUAGAGCGAAUGAUCCAGGACGGUGUAGUUUAACUUGUUGAACAAUUUUUGGCCUUUCUUCAGAUGUGGUCUCUUGUAAAUGCCAGACUUCAGAAACGGAUGAUUGUGGCGAUCAUUUUUAGUCGCACAAGUGAC